ACACAGCACGCUUGCCUGAUGUGCAGUGUCAUGCAACUCCUAAGCCCCACGCUGGGCGAAGGUUCAUUGUAUGGGUGACACUCAACACCAGGCCAAGGGGAACAUUAAGCCACCCCUGCAGGGAUUUGGGACUUCUACCAAAAUCAGAGGGUGACCUUGGACAAAAUUUCCACCAUUCUAGAAUCUUCUUCAGCCCUCUACUUGACAAGGAAGCACGCCCUCCCGUAGAGCACCUUCCUCCCUCUGCCCUCCAUGACCUUCUUCACAGCCUUCGCAGCCCACUCUGACAAUGACGACUAUUUCCUGAUCUCAGUUCUUCCAAGAGAAAGGAUCAAACACCUCGCUUUCAGGAUUCGUGAACUAUUGUUGAAAGGGUAGUAGACCCCUGAAAAUGUAAUUUUUCAAGAAACAUUUGUGUCUUAGAAAUGUACCCUGUGUCAAGAGGCCGCAUCAUUUGAAAUAACAUUCUUGCUGAUCCGGAAAGGGUUUUGGUAGCUGUUGCUGAGAGCUGUGCCCAGAGAAAGGGGUUGGGUUAAAUGCUCCUUAUUCAGCUAAGAUCCCAGUGUGGGUCUGCUUAGCUCCCUUCAACUUGAAUUGUUACUGUAAUAAUGACAAUUCAUCACAAUAAUAACUAUUUUUGUUUUUAUAUGGAGAGGGACCAUGGCUUUUCUUUGAUUUUAAAAUCAUCUGUGUCACAAAAAACAAACAAAAAAAAACUGAGAAGCACUGCUUAGAUCUUGCCAUCUACAGGUGACUACAGCUGAGCAGUGGAUCCCUCCCCCUUCCUCAAGCACCCAACCUAGGACUUAUGCGUGGUGUCCCGCCCUAUCACAGAAAAGGCGCUGGACUCCCUGUACACCUCCUCUGGGCCAGAACAGCAUGACUCCUCAUGAGUUACACAUCGUCACCUUGCAGUAGCCACUGGAGGCAAGAAAAUCAUCUUCUGGUAAAGUCACUAUGGAAAAGAGCAUGGGGAACAGGGUUCUCAAAAAGUAGGAGUAGAGUUACCAUAUGACCCAGCAACCCCUCUCUGGGUAUCCCUUAAAAUUUUAAGAACAUUUAUUCACAAAGAUAUAGGAACUCCUAUGUUCAUUGCAGCAUUAUUCAUGGUGGCCAAGACGUGGAAACAACCAAAGGGCCCUUCAAUAGAGGACUGGAUAAAGAUGUACAUACGCACAAUGGAAUACUACUCAGCCCUAGAAAAGAUGAAAUGCUGCCAUUUGCAACAAUGUGAAUGGAUCUUGAGGCUAUCGUGCUAAGCGAAAUAAGACAGAAAAAGGUAAGAACUGCAUAGUUUCACUCAUAUAUGGGAUAUAACACUGAAAGUAACAAGUGAACAAACAAGACAAACAAAAACUCAUAGGCACAGAUGACAGU